rnacentral:sRNA from 12 species
GGAUAGCCCCAGGUAACUGGGGAAAGGUCGGGGCGGCUUGACGGCUCCGGCCCCCAAGUUGGAUCACAAGUCCAGCGUGGGCAUGUCUCACCGGAUCCCGCGGCCGGGGUCGCACCCGGAAAGCAUCGGGCGAGUUGAAAAGCCGAAAGGCGCAACGAGGUCGGUGUCCGUAGAAUGCGAAUAAGGGGUUCGAGAGGUUGGCGGCGAUAACUAAAGAAACCGCACGCUAGCCCAGUCACGUUGGAAGGCAGUUUCGGCCUUUUUGGCGAACACAGACGCUCCAAGAAAAGGGCGCUGGUUGCUGCUGUGAGAAACGUCAGGUGUUCAUGGUCAGCCUGAGUAUGGGAGUGUGAAAAAGCUCCUGGCUCCAAGGUUCCCCCUGAUGCGGGGGGAAAGCGAAAGGGGUUGGCAGGUGGAUAGGCGGGGUCGGGGGGUCGGGCCGGCGGGCUUGGCCGAUAGAAAACCCGGCUCCGGGUUUGGGAGGCGUACCCGGGAGGGGCGUCGCCCAACUACGAGGAAAAAGCAACCUGAGAGGUAAGAAGCUAGACCCGUGGCGGGGGGCCAACGCGGUGCCAAAAGCACCGGCUGUCCUCCCGAUCAUAGGCGGUGAUUCACAAAGAAACCUGUCACAGGGUAAUUCUCGUGGGUGAGUCAACGCCGUGUUUGGCGCGCCCGUGCCGGCAGGUACGGACCGAACCAAGCAAAGAGGCUUCACUCAAUAAACUGCGAUCAGGGAUGGUCGUGGCGGCCCUGCUAUGAGGCCGGAACUUCUCCCCCGCCGUGACGCGGGGGCGGUGAAUAGCGUCGGGGAACUGGCAGCCGAAUGAAGAAGUAGGAUCGGUCGAAAGGCAGGUCCAGGCGCCAAAUAGCCAGUCGAUGGGGAAGAGAGCGUGGCGAACUCC